rnacentral:rRNA from 1 species
AGUGGCGGACCGCUGAGUAACGCGUAGGUGACCUGCCCCGAAGUGGGGAAUAACUGCCCGAAAGGGUGGCUAAUACCGCAUGUGGUGAUGCGUUCAUUCGCAUCAGUAAAGCCGCAAGGCGCUUCGGGAGGGGCCUGCGUCCGAUUAGCUCGUUGGUGGGGUAACGGCUCACCAAGGCGACGAUCGGUAGGUGGUCUGAGAGGACGAUCACCCAGACUGGGACUGAGACACGGCCCAGACUCCUACGGGAGGCAGCAGUCGGGAAUAUUGCACAAUGGGCGCAAGCCUGAUGCAGCGACGCCGCGUGAGGGAUGACGGCCUUCGGGUUGUAAACCUCUUUCAGUAGGGAAGAAGCGAAAGUGACGGUACCUGCAGAAGAAGCGCCGGCUAACUACGUGCCAGCAGCCGCGGUAAUACGUAGGGCGCAAGCGUUGUCCGGAAUUACUGGGCGUAAAGAGCUCGUAGGCGGUUUGUCGCGUCGUCUGUGAAAACUCGAGGCUCAACCUCGAGCUUGCAGGCGAUACGGGCAGACUUGAGUACUGCAGGGGAGACUGGAAUUCCUGGUGUAGCGGUGAAAUGCGCAGAUAUCAGGAGGAACACCGGUGGCGAAGGCGGGUCUCUGGGCAGUAACUGACGCUGAGGAGCGAAAGCGUGGGUAGCGAACAGGAUUAGAUACCCUGGUAGUCCACGCCGUAAACGGUGGGCGCUAGGUGUGGGUUUCCUUCCACGGGAUCCGUGCCGUAGCUAACGCAUUAAGCGCCCCGCCUGGGGAGUACGGCCGCAAG